UCUGCUUCUUCUUGCCAACAUCUUGUGGAGUGUAAUACCGGAGCAUCCCGGGUGCAGCGCGGAUCAACCCCAACUCCCUGACUCUGUGUGGGAUUUACCGAGGAAGGGGCUGCAGUCAGUCCCAUCCUCCAGGACCGAGAGGCGCACUUUACGGAGCAGAAUUAAGAGCAAACCGGAGCCUCUCCUCUGGACCAGAGUUACUGAGAGAAAUGUCAUCCGCUCACUAGAGCCACACUAAAACUGACACUGGAAUACAAUCAAAGCAGUUUAAUGGAGAGGAACAAAUAGAACAAAUUAAAAUUCUUGUAUUCAAGGGAGGACAUUCCAGUCGCAAGCAAUUGGAUGAGAGUCUUAUUAGCCCUCGGCAACUAAAGAUGAUGUUUCCAUGGAAACAAAUUGUUCUGCUAUCAAUCACCGGAUGCCUUGCAGCCUGUGCAGAGGAUGUCAUAUUACAAGGGCCAAGAUGGAGGACGGAGCCUACUGACCUCAUUUUGCCGAUCGACUCCCCGGACCAGCAGGCUACCAUCACAUGCGAGGCAGAGGGGAGCCCUCCUCCGCA